rnacentral:rRNA from 1 species
AUUGAACGCUGGCGGCAGGCUUAACACAUGCAAGUCGAGCGGAGAUGAGGUGCUUGCACCUUAUCUUAGCGGCGGACGGGUGAGUAAUGCUUAGGAAUCUGCCUAUUAGUGGGGGACAACAUUCCGAAAGGAAUGCUAAUACCGCAUACGUCCUACGGGAGAAAGCAGGGGAUCUUCGGACCUUGCGCUAAUAGAUGAGCCUAAGUCGGAUUAGCUAGGUGGUGGGGUAAAGGCCUACCAAGGCGACGAUCUGUAGCGGGUCUGAGAGGAUGAUCCGCCACACUGGGACUGAGACACGGCCCAGACUCCUACGGGAGGCAGCAGUGGGGAAUAUUGGACAAUGGGGGGAACCCCGAUCCAGCCAUGCCGCGUGUGUGGAGAAGGCCUUAUGGUUGUAAAGCACUUUAAGCGAGGAGGAGGCUACUGAGACUAAUACUCUUGGAUAGUGGACGUUACUCGCAGAAUAAGCACCGGCUAACUCUGUGCCAGCCGCCGCCGUAAUAC